UCUGGCGCAACCACAUCUUCUUCUCUUCUUCAUCCUUCCGGUUCAGAUCCACCCCUCCCUAUGCACCAGAAGUAUUGACUCUCCCAUGGCCGUCGAAUGAAGCCCGCCUCUCCCAUGCCAAUAGAGCAUUGCAUGCCCCUGACCUCACCCACUACACCACGCCUACCCUGGCUGGCUACGGGAGCCAGCGGCCACCGGCAUGGAUUUCUUGGGAUGGGCUGCAUAGCAUCAUGUCUUCACACCCGACCUCACCAUCACGCUCUUUAUGACAAUGUCUCUCCCCGCUGGCCAUGGGAGCCAGCACCACGAAGUCGGAAACAUCGUUGUCCUCCAGUACCCGACCCUCUCCGUCGACCCUCGUCGGUUUCAGCUACGUCGCCCACCCUACCUCGGUCAUGUCCCUGGCUCCCCGGCUCCAGGACCUUGCCUCGCCCACUUCCACCUUGUCGACCGCCUCCACUACAUUGCGACUGCUGCGUCCCCGACUUCAACUCCGCGUUCGACAUCAUGAGCAAAGUGGAUAAGUAGAACGGAGCAAUCACAGGCGGACAAUAUGCGUCGACAGCUAUCAAGCUAGAAAAUCUGGUUAUUUUCACUUUAUGAAGUGUGUAACCUUUUAGUCCAAUAUCCGCUUCAUUGUACUCCUCGUUCAUCUUUGUAUGUAUGUCACCAGAUUCUGUAAUCGACCCAACAAUUUGUACUCUUUUCGACAGUUUGUAAUCUUCUCACACUACUUACUAAAAUUGGACACCAAAAAGUAAACACGAGCAA